GUGGGGAUCAGGAGAACCAGAGCAAAGCUCAGAGGAACCGACCUGGAGCUGGACCUGAACCUGAACCCAGCUGUGUUUCCUUUAAGAGCGACCAGUCAAAGGGUCGCCUAGCUGAUUUCAAAGGACAUCAACCUCCUGCUGUGAAGAAAAUCCAACAGGGA